rnacentral:rRNA from 1 species
GUUGCGAACGGGUGAGUAACGCGUAGGUAACCUGCCUGGUAGCGGGGGAUAACUAUUGGAAACGAUAGCUAAUACCGCAUAACAGUAGAUAUUGCAUGAUAUCUGCUUGAAAGGGGCAAUUGCUCCACUACCAGAUGGACCUGCGUUGUAUUAGCUAGUUGGUGAGGUAACGGCUCACCAAGGCGACGAUACAUAGCCGACCUGAGAGGGUGAUCGGCCACACUGGGACUGAGACACGGCCCAGACUCCUACGGGAGGCAGCAGUAGGGAAUCUUCGGCAAUGGGGGGAACCCUGACCGAGCAACGCCGCGUGAGUGAAGAAGGUUUUCGGAUCGUAAAGCUCUGUUGUAAGAGAAGAACGAGUGUGAGAGUGGAAAGUUCACACUGUGACGGUAUCUUACCAGAAAGGGACGGCUAACUACGUGCCAGCAGCCGCGGUAAUACGUAGGUUCCGAGCGUUAUCCGGAUUUAUUGGGCGUAAAGCGAGCGCAGGCGGUUAGAUAAGUCUGAAGUUAAAGGCUGUGGCUUAACCAUAGUACGCUUUGGAAACUGUUUAACUUGAGUGCAAGAGGGGAGAGUGGAAUUCCAUGUGUAGCGGUGAAAUGCGUAGAUAUAUGGAGGAACACCGGUGGCGAAA